UGGGGAAUAUUGCACAAUGGGCGCAAGCCUGAUGCAGCCAUGCCGCGUGUAUGAAGAAGGCCUUCGGGUUGUAAAGUACUUUCAGCGAGGAGGAAGGCGUUGUGGUUAAUAACCGCAGCGAUUGACGUUACUCGCAGAAGAAGCACCGGCUAACUCCGUGCCAGCAGCCGCGGUAAUACGGAGGGUGCAAGCGUUAAUCGGAAUUACUGGGUGUAAAGCGCACGCAGGCGGUCUGUCAAGUCGGAUGUGAAAUCCCCGGGCUCAACCUGGGAACUGCAUCCGAAACUGGCAGGCUAGAGUCUUGUAGAGGGGGGUAGAAUUCCAGGUGUAGCGGUGAAAUGCGUAGAGAUCUGGAGGAAUACCGGUGGCGAAGGCGGCCCCCUGGACAAAGACUGACGCUCAGGUGCGAAAGUGUGGGGAGCAAACA
rnacentral:rRNA from 1 species